rnacentral:rRNA from 1 species
GCUUUCGGUCAUUCCUUCUCAUUUCAGAAGCUAAGCAGGGUUAGUACUUGGAUGGGAGACCACCUGGGAAUGCCAGGUGUUGUAACCU